CAAACUUACAGACUGGGACUCCAAGGAUCAGCCAGAUGAAAUGCUAUGUGCAGAGUCUUCAUUUCCCAGCUCAGUGGUGGACAGCAGAGGACUCUAAGAAUCACCUCAUAAAUGAACUACCUUGACAUGCCCUGACCCAGGCUCUUUAUUUGGAAACCCAGGCUAGGACAGGAAUGAAGAGAAGCCAGACCUUCUGACUCGAAGAUCCAGCCACCUCUUGGGAUGCACACGUUUCUCUUCAACUGCGUGAUGUGAACUGCGUCACAUGAUCACCAUCUACCCCUAUAACCACCAGCCCCAACCCAGGCUCACUGAAUUGGAAUUUCUGAAGUGAAUUAUCAACAGAAACUACCUAGAGAAACCUGUAACUUCAGAUCUUCUGAUUAAUUGAUUUUCUUUGGGUGCUGCUUGACAGUAACAGAAUGGUCCAUGGGGACAGUUUUUCAGUGAAUGUUUUCAACAAUGAUAGGAACACAGAGCUAAGCAGAGUGUCAAGAGACAUUUAGUGCAGUAGAGACAUCUCAUCUGUUUUUCUGCAGAACUUGCAUAAAAUUAGCAUCUGAUUAUUAUCACCUCAGAAUGAACCGGAACCCGUAAAGAUGUCUUUGAUCGUAAAAGUGGGGAGGAGACCCUGAUGGAAGAAGAGAAGACUUCAGCCUCACAAUAGAAAAGACUGUGUUUAUGCACCUAAAUCUAACUUAGACACCAUCUAAUUCAAGAAACAGGCACAUUUAGGGAAAUAAAGAAAAGAGGCAGAAAGAGAUGAAGCACCUUGGCUGAAUCAGAGAAAUUAGGGGUUAAUGUUCCAGACUGAUGACUUGAAGGAGGGUGUGCAUUUUCAUGCAAGGGACCAUUCUGUAGAAGAAGCAGCACAUUCACCCUUAAAUGAGCAAAGAGAAUCCCAAUCACUCUCCCUCUCACCCUCCCCUUUUCCUUCAUUUCUCUAGCUCUUUAUUUCCAAGAAGGCCAGCCCUUCUCUUCAGCCACAUGGUAUUUGGACAGCCUAGGCUCAAUCCCUGCAGGGAAAGCUCAAUCAGCCAGCUGAGCCAGUCACUGAACAACCAAGUCUGGUAAGAACAGGGGUGAAGUAUUUAAGAAGCCUAUCGUGGCUGGAGGGCUAAAGCCUUGUUCUCAAAUCAGCUUUAUAGGUAAUAAAACUGACAUUAAAGCAAAAAC
rnacentral:lncRNA from 1 species